AGUGAACGCUGGCGGUAGGCCUAACACAUGCAAGUCGAACGGCAGCACAGUAAGAGCUUGCUCUUACGGGUGGCGAGUGGCGGACGGGUGAGGAAUACAUCGGAAUCUACUUUUUCGUGGGGGAUAACGUAGGGAAACUUACGCUAAUACCGCAUACGACCUACGGGUGAAAGCAGGGGAUCUUCGGACCUUGCGCGAUUGAAUGAGCCGAUGUCGGAUUAGCUAGUUGGCGGGGUAAAGGCCCACCAAGGCGACGAUCCGUAGCUGGUCUGAGAGGAUGAUCAGCCACACUGGAGCUGAGACACGGUCCAGACUCCUACGGGAGGCAGCAGUGGGGAAUAUUGGACAAUGGGCGCAAGCCUGAUCCAGCCAGACCGCGUGGGUGAAGAAGGCCUUCGGGUUGUAAAGCCGUUUUGUUGGGAAAGAAAAGCAGCAGGUUAAUACCCCGCGGUUCUGACGGUACCCAAAGAAUAAGCACCGGCUAACUUCGUG
rnacentral:rRNA from 1 species